GGUAAGUUGGCUCAGUGGGCAGAGCUAGGGACUCGCGACCAGGAGGUCCGAGUUCGAACCUCGCAAGAUGCGG
rnacentral:tRNA from 1 species